rnacentral:piRNA from 1 species
UACAAUGUGAUAAAAAAAAAG